rnacentral:rRNA from 1 species
CCUCCCACCCGUGUUUACUGUACCUUAGUUGCUUCGGCGGGCCCGCCAUUCAUGGCCGCCGGGGGCUCUCAGCCCCGGGCCCGCGCCCGCCGGAGACACCACGAACUCUGUCUGAUCUAGUGAAGUCUGAGUUGAUUGUAUCGCAAUCAGUUAAAACUUUCAACAAUGGAUCUCUUGGUUCCGGCAUCGAUGAAGAACGCAGCGAAAUGCGAUAACUAGUGUGAAUUGCAGAAUUCCGUGAAUCAUCGAGUCUUUGAACGCACAUUGCGCCCCCUGGUAUUCCGGGGGGCAUGCCUGUCCGAGCGUCAUUGCUGCCCAUCAAGCACGGCUUGUGUGUUGGGUCGUCGUCCCCUCUCCGGGGGGGACGGGCCCCAAAGGCAGCGGCGGCACCGCGUCCGAUCCUCGAGCGUAUGGGGCUUUGUCACCCGCUCUGUAGGCCCGGCCGGCG